AAUGCAGGUAUCAGCACAAUAAUGAAGCCGCAGGUGUUGCUUGCAGUUGUCCUCCUCUGCCCGCUGGGAAUGGCCCAUGAAAUUUGGAUUAGACCGAAACCCUACCCCGACAGACCCCCACCAUAUUAAAUGGAUCAGUUCAUCCACUCUUGUUCCUGCCACGGUGAGAAAUGGGCACCUUGGCUGGAACAAAAGGGGUUAAAAUGAUGUACAACUUACAGAUACAUCACUAUUAAGAAAUAAAUGACCUAAACAAUA